rnacentral:ncRNA from 1 species
GAGCCGUAUGAGGCGAGAGCCUCACGUCCGGUUCUGCGAGAGCGUGGGAGUGAAACUCUCCCGCGCUACUCUCC